ensembl:lncRNA
AUCAGUAAACAAACCUAUUAAAAGAGCACUUCCCCCUCAGGCCUACGGAGUUGGAAAUGAACGCUGAAUAAUUUAAAGCCGAAAUUAUUCUAAAGUAAAUUAAGCUUCUCCGGCCGAUUUGGACUCAUGAAAAAGUAAAAACAAGGCUCCAGUGACCCUUGGACAUGACUGAUACUCCACUUCGCUCAGUUCGUUGGAUCCUGAUGAGAACAGACCCGACACUGCCUCUUGCAGGGAAUCUCUUCUUUUCAGAAAUCAUCUGCCGCUUUGAAAUUUUACUAAAAUUUAUUGAUUGCUAUUAGUUUAACCCAAUCUUUAAAAGCGUAUUAAGACAGAUUUUCUAAGAGAGAGACAUUUCUGAGAGAGACAUUUCUAAGGGAGAGGAAACAGAUUCUCUGGGCUAUAUACAUCAGCGUGGCAACACACUGGCAGUCACCGCCAGAAGAAACUCAUCAAGCACCAACGUGAGUCUGCGGAGGUGAUAUUUAUGAGCUGUUAUCGCUGUGAAACGAAAUUUGAAAUAUUUAGUAUAAAGAAUACUAACCCAGGAAUACGAGUCGGACAUGGCUGCGCAACUGAACGACAGCAACAAUGGCUAUGACUAUGACUACGGGUCUGGAUGACCCUCUGGAGGAGGAGGGCAUGGCAACCAACCCCAGUGUUCAUGCCUGGAGAAUCCCACGGACAGAGGAGCCUGGUGGGCUACAGUCCAUGCAGUUGCGAAGAGCUGACACGGCUGAAGUGACUUAGCCUGCAUGCGUGCAAAUUGUAUUACAGAUAUUUAUCUCCAUGUCUGUCUCUGCCUACUCGGGGAGGGUUGUAUUACUUGUGGUUGCAUCUCCUUUGGGUGGCGCAGGGCCUGAUCCAUGCUGCGUAUUCUUAAAUACCUGUUGAAGCCAUUGUCUGCUUUGGUCCCCGUUCAGCGAUACCAUAGCGAUGUGAGGAUCCUACCGACGGUCAGGCUGAGGCUGAUUUUAGCAUGAGUCCACCUGGAGCAUUCAGGUCUGGGCCCCCAGCUCAGCUUGCUCCUGCUCAAGGCAGUUUCAUCUCAGGGACUUGCUGUUUUUCCUGUCUGGAACUUGACAGGUUCACUCUGCUUGUUAAAGUCAAAUUUGGUGGGGGGUAGAACUUGGGUGUCAGUUCCUUCCUUACCGAUAAACCCGAGAAUUUUUUAUGCAAAGUAGUCCACUGAUUCCUGAAUGAAUAGCUUUACCUCCCACAGAGUGGGAGGCAAUACAUACUGAAUCUAUAAUAAAAGACGGAAGUUCAUCGAUAACCUUUCCUUUGUAAAAUCAAUUCUUCCUUACCUUCCUUACACAACCAAGGCUGCUCAAAGAUGCCUGAGAGGCAACAGGACAAAGAUCUACUUCCUUCCCCAACAAUAAAAAUGACCUUGCUUCCCCAGAACUGAUGGAUGGCCUUCUUAUGUUCAAAUCAUCACUGUUUAGUGCGACUCCCUUGCUUGAGAAUUAUUAAAAUCCUCCAGUAAACCCAUCUCUG